ensembl:lncRNA
CAGUUUUCUUCUAUCUUUUGGCUUUUGAAUGAAUCUAUAGGUAUUUUCCCCUGAAAAGGUAGGGGAUAAAUAGGGCUGUAUAUCAUCUAAUCAGAUAGAAGGAAUUACUUUGAAGAGUUUGCUAGCAGUUGUUUCUAGUAAUGGUCAUUAACCCAAACCUGAACAAUUUUUUAAAAGCCUUUAUUGAAUUCGUUACAAUAUUGCUUCUGUUUUAUGUUUUGGUUUUUUAGCUGCAAGGCAAGAAGGAUCUUAGUUCCUCGACCAGGGAUCACACCCACAUUCCCUGCAUUGGACGGCAAACUCUUAACCACUAGACUGCCAGGAAUGCCCCAAACUAGAGCAAUUUAAUGACAAACAAAAUAUAAAGUCCUCUUGAAACAUGAUGGAUUCUGGAGGACUCCAAAGGCAAGUCCAUCUCCCCAUCUGGCCCAAUCUAGGCCUCUCCCUGGCAGCUUCUAUUCAUCCCAAAGAAGCCAAGGAAAAGUGGAGUUCCAAAAGAAUGCUGGUCAGCUCAUUAUUCACCCCAACAGAAAAGAAUCUUUGUGGAAUGUCUUUUGACAGUGGGUUCCUAAAAUUAUUUUGUGAUGUAUUAUAAAAUUUACCUGUCUUGCUUAUUCUCACAUUGACAUUCAUUUACAGUCCCUAAGCCCAAAAUGUCUGAAGACAAGUCCUGCCACAGGCACGCUCAAGUUCAGUUGUGUCAGACUCUUUGUGACCCCACGGACUGUAGCCCACCAGCUUCCUCUGUCCAUGGGAUUUCCCCAGCAAGAAUACUGGAGUAAGCUGCUGUUUCCUUCUCCAAGGGAUCUUCCUGACUCAGGGAUCAAACCUGAGUCUCCCAAGUUGCUUGCACUGCAGAAGGAUUCUUUACCACUGUGCCACCUGGGAAGCCCAAUGCAUCAAUGUGGGAUUAAAAAGGCUGUCUGGGAUAAUGCUAAACUACACGUGGCUAUUUGAGAGGGGACUGUGUUUUCUGUGUCACUGUCUAGCUUGCAAACUGAGGAUUUCUAGGAAGAGGAACUUUUUAAGAUAAUAAGAUUCAUAUGAGCCAAAGGAUUCAUCAGAGGUGAUGUCUGUUUUCAGUGGUGAUGACCAACAGAUACUAUACUGUAUGUGGGAUAAAAAGAAAGGACAUCCACAAAAUCUAAUGAAGAAAAUUUCAGAUUAUAUUUUCAGAGAAAUCAGUUAGAUGCAUUUUCUUUGUAAAUUUAGAAUUCCAAAUAUAAAUAAAUAAAAUGGAAGUGCAACCAAAAAUAACUGAGUAAAGAAAUACUUGAGCAUCUGGGAGGUAAAGCAAGAGGGUCCCUUGUUCUCAGCUUCUGGUAGGGUGAGGAGCACCAUGGUGAAAGAAACUCUGACAAACGGCAUCCCUGCCCCUGGCCCCUGUCAACAGGAAAUGCUUCCUGGAAAGAAUAAUAAAAAACUAGGAUGUAAAUGAACAUCAGCAACUUAAGUGCUCGCCAGCUCAGUUGUUAGGAAUGGAGGAAAAGCUAAAGAUUGAAGACAGCUUGACAAAAUCCUACACACCAUCCAGCUGGGCUUUACACAUU